GGCGGAGGGGCGGGGCUGGGCUGGAGGGGCGGGGCCUCGGGGCCCCUCAAAAUCCAGGCUUCCGCAGCGGCCAGGCGUGAUUGGCGGGCCCCCGUGAAGGAGCUGGACGCGGCGAGGGCCUCCGCUGCCGAGGCGCGCUGGAGGAGGAGCCUAUUUGGAAACCGCAAUACAAGUACCGUUGCAAGGAAGAAAAAAAAAAUUUUUGUCUGGCUGCCAACCUACCUGAAGGCUACUGGAAAAGGAAAGCUGUCAUCCAGCCUUGAGCUACUCCAAGCGGACUUACCUCUGUGCUGUACACCCCAUAUAUCAGGAAGAUGAAGAGACCCUGUAAAAUAAAACGGAGGGAAAAAGCUGUUAACGCUAAUCAUUUCAGCAGUAGAAAUACCUGAAAUAAACUUUCCUGGGAACAGACAAAAGAAGACACACUUCAUCAAGAACGAUUUUAGGUUGACAGAAAACUUGAGAAGAUAGUACUGAGAGUUCACAUGGAUCCCACAUCCCGUAUUAGCAACACUGUGUAAUAGUAUGCAGAAGCACACUUGCAAGCAUCAACAGCAAGCCCCAGAGUGAUGACAUCGAAAGACCCUGAGAAGGGCUGAGACCCGAAACCACCCCAGGGAGUCUCUGCCCUCCUUUCGCUCGUGCUGCCUCCCUGAUGCCACCACAACUGGUGGAAAGGUAAAACAUUAAUAAUAAUUCCUUGAACUGUAUGCUUCACACAUGACUACUUUUUCCCCCCGCUGGUUUUACUGACAGUGUAAUGAUUUGGAUUGAACUGUACAGAAGUUCGUAACCCCUCACUGCUGAGGAGACACCUCAUUCUCUCCAUUCCCAAAGGGAAGAAGGAUCAAAACGGAAACAGCGAAACAAAAAUCGGAAGCCACCGCUGUGAGCCACUUUUAAAUUCCUGCAGAGAGAUUACCUCCAACAACAGCCGGAAGGAACCAACUGCCAAAUUUCAACUGGCACCGAGGUUUCUGGAACCCCUUAGCCCAACAUUCUGUCCUGUGAAAGCAUGCCCCGCUUGUGAGAUGCGCGGCCCCCACCCCGGUCCGCUACGGUGUCUGCUGGGCCACCACAGACAUAGUCACACAUCCUACUUAGGGUGUAUUCAUUGAGGUACCAAUUGUGCAGGUUUCACUCACAGUCCGAGUACCAGGAAGUACCCCGUGCGGCUGCAUUCCUGUCGCAUGUGUGCACUUUAUGAGGAGUCAGGACCAGCAAAGGAACGCCAGGAUAUUACAUCGGAUACUGUGCAGGAGUUAAAAAUAGAAACCUAAGGGGGGAUAUCAUACUCUUUGGUUUCCUUCUCGUUUAUCUGUGAACCUUUAAAAACUGAGGCAGCUUUGUACAUGGCUUCCCCAUUCCGGAAGUCCACUGAACACUGUCUGCCAGUAGUUUCAACAGCUGCCAUCCAGGCCUUAUUUUUAUAUUGAUCAUUCUGUUCUUUCUCAGCACUGUGUGGCUGCUAUGAAGUCAGUCUUCUUCUAAGUGGUGGCUUGUUCUUUCCUGGAGAGACAGAGGACAGGAAAGUACCCCCGAACCCAAGACACUGUCUACGCAAGAGUCAGAAUAACAU